rnacentral:rRNA from 1 species
CAGCCGUAAACUAUGCUCGCUAGGUGUCAGGGACGGUGCGACCGUUUCUGGUGCCGCAGGGAAGCCGUGAAGCGAGCCACCUGGGAAGUACGGUCGCAAGGCUGAAACUUAAAGGAAUUGGCGGGGGAGGCACUACAACGGGUGGAGCCUGCGGUUUAAUUUGGAUUCAACGCCGGACAUCUCACCAGGGCGGACAGCAGAAUGAUGGCCAGGUUGAUGACCUUGCUUGACUAGCUGAGAGGUGGUGCAUGGCGUAGACGUCU